GAAGGAAGGAUUCUUUCCUGUUAACAGAAUACUAUCUCUUGUUGAUGGAAAAUCUUGCCAAAAUUACUCUUUUCAUGUGGAAAAUUUCAGUUGCAGCAAGGGAAUGUCUGGUUCAAAGUUCUUUGGGCAACCCUGUUAAAAAGCAAGAAAAGAAGUUGAAGAAAACAGCAAGCAUUGCUACUCUCCAAAGGUCAAAAAGGAAAACUCGGGGGACCUAAGAAAGAGACAGAAUCAUAUGAUGUCCUCUGAAAUUAUUUGGUACCAGGGAAUGACAGGAAAAAGUAAUCAAGACUACAGACAAGUACCAAUGGUUGGAGAAGCUGAUGAAGAGAAAAGGAUUUAAAGAUAUACGGAGUAUUUUUCCUUUGUCUGUGAUGAAAUGGACCAUCUUUAUAAAAGCAGCAUCCUACCACUUAGGCUCUAUCUACUGAGGAUGGUCAGAAUUGCUUUGAUUUAGGAAAUAAGGGGAAAACCACAGGAACAAGAGGAAAACUAGGUCUGAACAGAACCCCUCUUCUCCUGCACUACAGUAAGGAUUUGAAUUCUAUUCACCAAACCUCUCUAAGGCCAGGUCUAUACUAAAGGGGAAGGUCAAAUUAAGAUACGCAACUCCAGCUAC